rnacentral:rRNA from 1 species
ACGGCUCAGUAACACGUAGACAACUUACCCUUGGGACCGGGAUAACCCUUGGGAAACUAGGGCUAAUACCGGAUAGUGCAUCGAUCGCUGGAAUGCAUGAUGUACGAAAGCUGAGGCGCCCAAGGAUAGGUCUGUGGCCGAUUAGGUUGUUGUUGAUGUAACGGAUCAACAAGCCUACGAUCGGUACGGGUUGUGAGAGCAAUAGCCCGGAGAUGGGUUCUGAGAGAAGAACCCAGGUCCUACGGGACGCAUCAGGCGCGAAAACUUUACAAUGUGCGAAAGCACGAUAAGGGAACUCUGAGUGCCUCCUAAGGAGGCUGUUCAGAUGUUUAAAAAGCAUCUGGAGGAAGGGCUGAGUAAGACCGGUGCCAGCCGCCGCGGUAUCACCGGCAGCCCAAGUGGUAGUCAUGCUUACUGGGUCUAAAGCGUCCGUAGCCGGCCAGGUAAGUUCCUUGGGAAAUUUGAUCGCUUAACGAUCAAGCUACCUGGGAAUACUACUCGGCUUGGGACCGGGAGAGGUCAGAGGUACCUCAAGGGUAGGGGUGAAAUCCGUUAAUCCUCGGGGGACCACCGGUAGCGAAGGCGUCUGACCAGACCGGAUCCGACGGUGAGGGACGAAGGCUAGGGGAGCGAAGCGGAUUAGAUACCCGCGUAGUCCUAGCUGUAAACGAUGCGGGCUAGGUGUUGGCAUUACUGCGAGUGGUGCCAGUGCCGAAGGGAAGUCGUUAAGCCCGCCAUCUGGGGAGUACGGUCGCAAGGCUGAAACUUAAAGGAAUUGGCGGGGGAGCAC